GACGAACGCUGGCGGCGUGCUUAACACAUGCAAGUCGAACGGAAAGGCCCUGCUUUUGUGGGGUGCUCGAGUGGCGAACGGGUGAGUAACACGUGAGUAACCUGCCCUUGACUUUGGGAUAACUUCAGGAAACUGGGGCUAAUACCGGAUAGGAGCUCCUGCUGCAUGGUGGGGGUUGGAAAGUUUCGGCGGUUGGGGAUGGACUCGCGGCUUAUCAGCUUGUUGGUGGGGUAGUGGCUUACCAAGGCUUUGACGGGUAGCCGGCCUGAGAGAGUGACCGGCCCCAUUGGGACUGAGAUACGGCCCAUACUCCUACGGGAGGCAGCAGUGGGGAAUAGUGCACAAUGGGCGGAAGCCUGAUGCAGAAACGCCGCGUGCGGGAUGACGGCCUUCGGGUUGUAAACCGCCUUCGCCUGUGACGAAGCGUGAGUGACGGUAAUGGGUAGAGAAGCACCGGCUAACUACGUG
rnacentral:rRNA from 1 species